rnacentral:rRNA from 1 species
UACGGAGGGUGCAAGCGUUAUCCGGAAUCACUGGGUUUAAAGGGUGCGUAGGCGGUCAGAUAAGUCAGUUGUGAAAUACCCCGGCUUAACCGGCGGAACUGCGAUUGAUACUGUUUGACUUGAAUCAGGUUGAGGUAGGCGGAAUGUGGCAUGUAGCGGUGAAAUGCUUAGAUAUGCCAUAGAACACCGAUUGCGAAGGCAGCUUGCUGGACCUGUAUUGACGCUGAGGCACGAAAGCGUGGGGAGCAAACAGG